UGUCUGCGUCCGGAAUAGCUCUUUUCAGAUAGGAAGGUCAGAGGGGACAUUCCAGGCCAUGAGGGACAGCGGUGUGGUCUAAAUUAAGAGCCCAGCGGUGGUACAAUCUCCGGUCUGAGCACACAGCUUUUCUCUUUCAGCUUAAGGAAGAAAACACAGAGAAAUGCAGCAUGACACUGCAGGACGUGACUUACUGCCAUGUCCUCAUCUGUUUAUACAGCUAAUGGAAAGGAAAAGAGCUACAAAGCGCCAAGGCCCAGCCCCGGUAAGGAGAAAGAGUCAGCGAGUGAAAGGCAAGAAAAAGUAUGUCGUCCCUCCCACCCAGAGAGCUCGGACGAUUUUGCUCCCUUGGAUCCAUGGAUGGUUGUGGCAUUGUUGGGAUUCGAAUUCACGUCCUCCCAGUGAUAAGGGAUUUACAGAGCUGAAUCAAUACAGCGUCCUUCAUCCUGCGCUCAGGCCUGACCUUGGCAGCCUUUUGUCUCCCUUUCAGGGGCAGAGAGCGUGCGCAUGCAGCAGCCCAAAGAAAACACCGGUCCUAGUGAAGCCUCUCCACGCUGAGAAAACUCAAAGCGUUUAAAAAGCAGCUCAUUAAGAGCCUAAUGAGUCAUAUGUUUAUUGGGUUUCCUUAUCUUAGCCUAAUGAACUGUCACACAGCUCGGGCUCAUUUGCUAAAUUGCCAGGCACACUUAGGAUGGCACAAAAUGUCGAAACCUUGCGUGGACAAAGCACAAAUGUCAGACUGGAGCAGUUUUGAUUUUAUGAAAGCCAUUUCAGGAUGAAAAGCAGUGCAAAAUAACUGUUAAUAACACUUGAGGUGUACUGUUUUAGAAAAAUAAUCAGUGAAUGUGGUCAUUCAUUGUGUGACGCUUUCCUGUGUGAAUUUGCCACAUAGCAAAUUACCAACAAUUACAUUUGUUUCUUUAUUUAAAAUGACACAUUGGAAUUUUUAUCCAUUUCUAGUUACUUUAAUGUUGUGUAAAGUCUGUGACACAAGUUUGUCCCUGUUAUCACUUACAUUAGAGCAGCUUUAAAAAUCCGUUUUCUCACCAGCCUUUUUUUUCUCUCAAUAUUAAUAAGAAAAAAAAAAAAAAAAAAAAGAAGAGCACAAAGUGUCCCUAAAAUUUACAGCUGACUGUUCCAAAGCACCGAUACUGGAGACUCCUUACAAAAAGACAUUAAAUAAACAGAAAUCUUGAUCAUAUCAACUGUUACACAUUUAUUUUUACAUGGCGUGUCCAAUAUACAAGUUCCUAUGUAACCUGUUACCAUAGAAACGAUAACACACUAGAAUCGAAUGCAUUCAUAUAAACCUGCAAUUUCCCUUGUAGCCAGAAAAAAAAACAAAAAAAAAAGAAUCUUCUGACCAAUCAAAAUCAAGAAUCCGGCAGCGCUUUGGUAUGAGCUGCAGUAAUUAAUCAGAGUUUCCGACGUUCAGCAUGCGCAGGUCUAUUAAAAAUGUGGGUCAUCAGAUAAACUCACUCUGACCUACAUGCCCUCGUCUCAAAUGGCAACAAGAUCAUAUCGCAUGUUAAUAUUAAUACUGAGGGAACAAAAAAACAUUUCCACACCCAGAGGUUGUGCUCUUUCACAGAAAGUGUUUGAUUAGUUUUAAACCCUAGGAGCAGCGAUUCAGCUCGUGCACUGAGACAUUGCGA